GCACCCGUAGCUCAGCGGAUAGAGCGCUUGCCUCCGGAGCAAGAGGUCCCGUGUUCGAGUCACGGCGGGUGUA
rnacentral:tRNA from 1 species